UUCGUCAGUUUCUCUGCACGAAUACCGAGAGAAGACGAACGGGUGUUCUUCGUGUUCUUCAUAUUCAAACGAGGAUUUGAAGGCGUUAUUGGAAUCCGAUGGAGGCGUAUAAAUAGUCAAAACGAAGCUCUCGACGCGUAGAAUCUAUUGUAGUCAUCAAUAUCAGCGCUGAAUCGACAGGUUUUUGCUAAAUAAGCUUUUUAAUUUCGAAUUAUAUUAUUUCAAAAGAUGAAUUUUCGUAAAUGAUAUUGUUUGAUUGAUUUGAUGAUUCCAUGUUGUAGAGCAUCUCCUGCCAUUCGUUUUCAUAUAUUAUAUGUCGAUUUUUGACUUCCGUAACAUAUAGAAACAAGGGUUUGAUUCUUGAGAUGUGUUCUUGAAUGUUCUUGAGUGUUCUUGAAUAUUUUUAAUUGAAAUUUGGGGGAUUCUUUUCUGUUGAUUCUGGGUAGAAAUUGAAGCUACUGGAACGUUCAGGAGGAUGAGGGGAUGUUGUACGUGUGAUCAGAUGUGGUGUGGAGUGCCGGGAAGUCGGCCGCCGGAGUUUCGAAAGAAACUCGCCUCCGGCGAGUUUAAUGUUGAAAUUCCGGCGAACUCCCACGGUUUUUAGCGUUUCCGAGUGCAUGUACAAGUUCCUGGCAGUGGUUAGGAUGAUUCUGGAGCAUCUGGUGCGUUUCUGGGCGGGUUUAAGUCGCCGUCGGCGUUUUCCGGGGGGUGCCGCUGCAAAAGUGCAGUUUGGUACCCCAACUUUUAAAGAUGAUGAAGUCAUCAUACCCAAGUUUUGAAUCUUACAAAACAUCCCCUGUAACUUUGAAAAGUUGCAGUUUGAACCCUGGACAAAACUUUCAAAAGUUUACAAAAUAAACCUUUUGAUUUUAAUUUUCAGAAAUUGUUUUAUUUAAUUAUUUUAAAUUCCAAAAAUAGUUUUUAAUUAUUUCUUUAUUUAAAAAAUAAAUCUAAAUUAGUUUGUUAAUUAAUUUUAAUUAGUAAUUAAUUAUUUUAAUUGGUCAAUUAAUUUAAAUAUUAAUUGAUUAAUUAAUUUAGUUAAUUAUUAAUAGAUUUUAAUUGAUUAACUAAUUAGAUUUAAUUGUUCCUUUUGAUUUAAAAAUUCCGAAAAAUAGUUUCGAGCUUUGAAUUAUUUUUUUCUAAAAUAUGUUUGAGGCUCGUUAAUUGAUUUCAAAUGAUUUUGGACCCGAUCUUGAGCAAUCGGACUUGAUUAUUUAUUCAAAAAUGGAUUCUUUUACCUGUUUUAAUUCCGAAAAAUGUCUAGAAAUUCCAGAAAAUUCCUGAAAAAUCAUUUUUAACCUGAGACUUGAUUUGAUAUCAAUUGGGAUGGGAAACCUUAUAUGAAAAAUGUUGUCUGCUAUCUGUUUGAUAUGUUAUGUACCGAUAGGAGAGUUAGAAAACGGUCUUGCUCAUAACUUUUGACUCGUAAUUCAGAAUAGAGUGAAACGAAAAAGAGAUUAAAGCUUAUAAAGUCUAUUUUAAUGUGACAUAAUAAUAUGGUGGAGUAUAGAAUGUGAAUAAUUGUUGUUAAAUGUAUAGAAUAUGAUUAUAUGUGAUCUAAUUGCUAUUAAUUGAUGAUUGCAUGGACUAUCUGGUUGUUCUAGUAUUACAUACAUGUGAUAAAUGAUUAAAUGACAUAGUGUCGUGUCUUGAUAGAUGUCGGAUAAAAGCAUAUGGAUUAUAGUGAUUGGAUUUGGUUGGUUGAUUGUUGAUUGAGAUAGGAUAACAGGUGGAUAGUCUAAUAAAUAGACGAGACGAUGUCAGAUUUUCGAUAAGAUUUAUAUGAUAUUUAAUUGAUAAUAUGUUAUGUGGAAUAUGAUUAGACUAUAUGGUAGAGUCAAAGCAUGAUUAUGUGUUAAGUGAUAUUUGAUGAGUUUAAAGAGUUAUAUAAGUGGGUAUCGAUAUACGUGAUAUGUAUAUGCGAUAGGUUAUGCUACCGAGUUGAUAAGUAGAGAUAAGAAUCAAUAGAUUAUUUAGUGAUAAUGGUAGUAUCUUAUUCUCGUAAAGGGUUUGGACGAGACGGAUACGAUCGAAGACGUUCAGAAGGUCAAACGAUGUUACAAAGCGAAUAAGGAACGAAUCGAGUAAACGAAGCAGUGUGGCGAAUAGAGUAUAGCCAAAGAUGGUCUAGAGACUAUGAUAUGCAUAGAGUGUGAAAGUGGAAAGAUGAGAUUGAGAUAUGAGACUGGAAUCGGAUUUAAGGCAAGUUUCCUAAAUCCUUCCUCAUAUAUAUGUUGCAUGCUCUGANNNNNNNNNNNNNNNNNNNNNNNNNNNNNNNNNNNNNNNNNNNNNNNNNNNNNNNNNNNNNNNNNNNNNNNNNNNNNNNNNNNNNNNNNNNNNNNNNNNNNNNNNNNNNNNNNNNNNNNNNNNNNNNNNNNNNNNNNNNNNNNNNNNNNNNNNNNNNNNNNNNNNNNNNNNNNNNNNNNNNNNNNNNNNNNNNNNNNNNNNNNNNNNNNNNNNNNNNNNNNNNNNNNNNNNNNNNNNNNNNNNNNNNNNNNNNNNNNNNNNNNNNNNNNNNNNUAUAGAUUAUCCAAAGGACAAGUGGAAUGUUCAGGGAGAUUGUCAAGGUUGGUUCUAGAUAGAAUUGUUGAAAUUCAGUUGUAAUCAUAAUUGAUAUAGAUUGGCAGUGAUUCUUCUUAUCGAAGAUGAUCUGAGUUUGGAAGACAUAGUUUAUUGAUAGUGGUUGAUUCUAAUUUCAAUACUGUAACCUGGAUGCGAUCCUGUUUUUAGGGGGUUAAAGUGUUUUCUUUUAAAUCUUUUACUAAAGUUUUCAGGUUUUAAAUCCUUUGAUUUUAUUACCUUUUUCAGAAAUACAGGUUUUCAAAAGUGUUUUAGAAUGAUUUUGUGUGGUGACGUCAGAAUCCAGACCCCCGGAUUCUCGGGCUGUCACAGUUGGUAUCAGAGCAACAGGUUAUAAGUUAUUGAAAUUAGAAUAUAGAUUGUAGUUAUAAGUUUUAUAGAAGAGAAGUGUUCAGUGACCUCAUAUAGAGGUAUUGUGAGACUGUCUAGGGAUAGUCUAGAGAGGUAAUCGGAAUAGAAUUUAGAUAGUUAAUUAAGUUGAGGGUGAAUGUUUAGAUGGAUCAUGGUUCCUAAGCCUAGACACUUGGUUUCUAGUAUGUGGACUGAUUGAGAUAGUGAAUUGUGAUAAGGGUCAGAGUCAGACCUAGUCAAAAGAGUAUUAAUAAUGAAUGAUUAAGUUAAGAAUGAUAAAGAUGCAUGGUUUGGAGUAUUCUGACCAUGUUACAUAUUUGAAAGUGGUUUAUCGUUGGAUUGAGAUGUAGAAGAAUGAGUGUUGAAUAUGAGAUAUAUUGGAUUAGAAAGAGAGUUUUGUAGAUAGAUGAGAUGUGAAUGAUAGAGAGUAGGUGGAAUUGAGUCUAGUUAUCAGAAGUGAUGUUGUGAGUGAGAUAGAACGUUAGUCUUCAACGACGACGCUUCGAGCUAAACGGGAAUUCAUCUGAUAUCAAGAUAAGCCAACUUCAUUGCGAAUGACAACGUCUACAAGAAAAUCUUGCGAGGUUAUCACAAGCGAGAACGUCGAGAAGAAGACAUACAUCGAACAUCGAUCUAUGGGAGCAGAGCAAGAAAUUCAGAAGACCUUGGCAAUAUCUUCUUCAACAAAAGCUUAUUUUAACUCUUUUUAUCAUCAUUGAGCCCUUAUAUCUUUUCUACAAAAGUUUUGAUAAAUGAGAUUUUCUAUUUCUCGAAUGACGAGAAAACAUUAGUAUUGAUUAGUGAUAUGAGUGGAAUUGAUUCUUGGUGUGAGAUAUAGGUUGUCGUGAAAAGACAAUGAUAUUUCUUGACAUUCCUUGAUAUUAUUUGAUAUACCUUGAUAUCUCCUGAUAUUCUUUGGUAUUCCUUGAGAUUCCUUGGUAUUCCUUCCAUCUGAUUGGGAUGAACAACCCUAUUUAUAGGGGACACAAGGUAAACCUGUCUGUGUGAUAGGAGUUGGAUGGGACGCCAUCACUUGUGUGUGUUGUGAUUACAAGAAGGUUAACGACCUUUAGUAGUGUCUAAUAUGGGCACGCAACACUAAGUUCGUUUGAUCAUAUUGAUCUCUCAGUCACUCUCUUAUUCAAACAUGACCUAUUUUGAAAACAUUUUGUUCCAUUCUAAGUUCUUAAAGAGUGAUUCUAAGAACUGAGCUCUGUAAUGGUGAAAGUUUUAAUACUCUUAUUUGUUUCAAAGUCAAAGGUAUGCCAAGGUCGAACGAAGGUGGGAGGAUGAUAGUACGAAGGAUGUACAUUUUCAUUCUCUUCGCGGAUUCUGAGGACAGAAUCCUUAUAAGGGGGGUAGAAUGUAACAUCCCGGAUUUUCAGAAUUAGUUUAUUAAUAUAGAAAUAAGUUUUUGAAUAUUAUUGGCUUUAAUUGAGUUUUCUGAUAAGAUGAAUGGUCUGAGUAUAAUUUUGAUGUGGAAUUAUAAGGUUAAAGACGGAAGAUGCAUUCUUCUGUUGUGAUUUCGUUUAUUUUAGCGACCCGGAUUUUUUCAAAAAUUGUUUAUCGUUAUGAAAGUGGUUUUCUUAGAAAGAAAGGAAUAAAGUUUAAUAUUUUAUUCCAGUUUAAGGUAUUUUCAAAAUUGUAUAUUUAAAUUCCGGGUUAUUGUGUUAUCAAUACAGGGUUGUCUUUUCAAAAUUUUAUUUUAUAUAAUUGAUUUUAAAGAUUUAAAAGAUUGCUAUUGUUACAUGGCUAAGUGUUGCAUGUGGAAUUGUGAGUUUAGUUAGUUAUGAUAAUUUAAUGUGAAUAUUGCAUGAAUUUGGUGUAAAUUGAUUUUCUGUAAUUGUUACUUAUAUGUGCCAGAACUGUGAGUUUAAUUAUUGAUAUUAUCAGAAUGAGUCAUAUGUUAUUUAGAUAUUUUUAAAUGAUUUAUAUAUGGAUAUAUAAAUAUCCUUUCAAAACUUAUUUCAAAUAUUAUUUCUGAAAAUACAGAGAUGGGUUAUGCAAAAGUUAGAUGGUUGAUAUGUGAAUGUAUGUAUUACAUGAUUAAGUGUUACGUGUGUAAUGGUCGUGUAACCAGUUAUGGUUAUUUACGAAUAUUAUUUGAAUAUUUGGUAAAUUAUUUGAUAACUAGUUUUCUAUUUUGAUUGCUUAUAUAUGUUGCAAUCGCGAGUUUUCAAUUUUCAUAUUCUCAGAAUAAAAUAUGGAACAUUUGGGUAUUUUCCUGAUAAUUUAUGAAUAGUAUGUGAUAUUUAUAUGAAUAUCUGUGAGGUUUGUGUUAUCGGGUUUAUUGAAUUGACUGUUCAUAUGUGUUCGGAUUUGAGAUAUUUUAAUUUCUAUAUGAUCAGGAUAAAAUAUAGUUUAUUUAGAUAUGUUCAUAUCAAUUUUUGGAUUGCUACGUGAUUUUAUGAUCGAUUUGUGAAUUUAAUUUCGUUUAAUUAUUAUUUAUAUUUAAAUAGUUAUUUAACAUUUUAAACCCCGUGGGCGUUCGGGAAAAUUUCGCCAUUAGGCUAUUUGGGACAUUCUGAGCAUUUCUCGUGUUUUAACUUUUUCAAUCCGGAGUACGGUUUGCCCCGUAAAUGGUCCGGUACGGUUUUAUUAAUAUUUUUAAAGUUAAUAAUUAUCUGGUUGUCUCGUAAUGCGUGAAGCAUAUUCCAGGAAUAUUCCAAAGCAUAUUCAAGGAAUAUUCCAAAGCAUAUUCAAGGAAUAUUCUCUUAUCUUCUUCUAUAAAUAUCCUUUACCAGUUUAUCUCGCACGUACAAUCAUUUCGUCAGUUUCUCUGCACGAAUACCGAGAGAAGACGAACGGGUGUUCUUCGUGUUCUUCAUAUUCAAACGAGGAUUUGAAGGCGUUAUUGGAAUCCGAUGGAGGCGUAUAAAUAGUCAAAACGAAGCUCUCGACGCGUAGAAUCUAGUUUAAUCAACCGUAACACUGCAGAUUUCACGGGUAAAUUAUUAUUAAUUUUCGAAAAUUCGAAUUAUUAAGAUUUAAAUAGUGAAUUUUUGCAAACGUGAUUAUUUGAUUAAUUUGAUGAUUCCAUGUUGUAGAGCAUCUCUUGCCAUUCGUUUUCAUAUAUUAUAUGUCGAUUUUUGACUUCCGUAUCAUAUAGAAACAUGGGUUUGAUUCUUGAGGCUGUGUUCUUGAGUGUUCUUGAAGCUUUUUAAUUGAAAUUUGGGGGUUUCUUAUUCUGUGAAUCUGGGCAGUUUUUGAUGUUAUGUAUGUGUUCAUCUUGAUGAGGGGAGUCGAGGGAUGUGAUCGAAAUCAGUGUGAGAGCUCGGAUGAGAGCUCGAUGGUGUUUCAAAGCUUCGCCGGCGGCGAAGUUGUGAUUGGAAUUUUCUACCGUUUCGUUGCAUGUUUGUUGAUUUUAACUACAUAUAUAGGUUCCUGGUAGUGUGUGUAUGUAAUCUGGACAGUUGGGUGGAGUUUGGUGGCCGGGAACGAGUUUUCCGGCGAGUUAGAAGGUGGCCGGCGGCUUAUUGCUGUUUGGUCACCGAAGUUAUGAAGGUGGUGAAGUUUCUGCACCGGAGUUUGCAUUCUGACAGAUUGGCCCCUGUAACUUUGAAAAGUUACAGUUUAAACCUUGGACCAAAACUUUCAAAAGUUUACAAAAUAAACCUUUUGAUUUAAUUUUCUAAAAUUGUUUUAUUUAAUUAUUUUAAAUUUCAAAAAUAGUUUUUAAUUAUUUCUUUAUUCAAAAAUAAAUCUAAAUUAGUUUCUUAAUUAAUUUUAAUUAGUAAUUAAUUAUUUUAAUUGGUCAAUUAAUUUAAAUAUUAAUUGAUUAAUUAAUUUAGUUAAUUAUUAAUUGAUUUUAAUUGAUUAAUUAAUUAGAUUUAAUUGUUCCUUUUGAUUUAAAAAUUCCGAAAAAUAGUUUCGAGCUUUGAAUUAUUUUUCUAAAAUAUGUUCGAGGCUCGUUAAUUGAUUUCAAAUGAUUUUGGAUCCGAUCUUGAGCAAUCGGAAUUGAUUAUUUAUUCAAAAAUGGAUUCUUUUACCCGUUUUAAUUCCGAAAAAUGUCUAGAAAUUCCAGAAAAUUCCCGAAAAAUCAUUUUUAACCCAAGACUUGAUUUGACAUCAAUCGGGAUGGGAGACCUUAUAUGAAAUAUGUUGUCUGCUAUCUGUUUGAUGUGUUAUGUGCUGAUAAAGAGUAAGAAAACAGUUUUGUUCAUAACUUUUGACUCGUAAUUCAGAAUGGAGUGAAACGAAAAAGAGAUUAAAGCUUAUAAAGUCUAUUUUAAUGUGACAUAAUAAUAUGGUGGAAUAUAGAAUGUGAAUAAUUGUUGUUAAAUGUAUAGAAUAUGAUGAUAUGUGAUCUAAUUGCUAUUAAUUGAUGAUUGCAUGGACUAUCUGGUUGUUCUAGUAUUACAUACAUGUGAUAAAUGAUUAAAUGACAUAGUGUCGUGUCUUGAUAGAUGUCGGAUAAAAGCAUAUGGAUUAUAGUGAUUGGAUUUGGUUGGUUGAUUGUUGAUUGAGAUAGGAUAACAGGUGGAUAGUCUAAUAAAUAGACGAGACGAUGUCGGAUUUUCGAUAAGAUUUAUAUGAUAUUUAAUUGAUAAUAUGUUAUGUGAAAUAUGAUUAGACUAUAUGGUAGAGUCAAAGCAUGAUUAUGUGUUAAGUGAUAUUUGAUGAGUUUAAAGAGUUAUAUAAGUGGGUAUCGAUAUACGUGAUAUGUGUAUGCGAUAGGUUAUGCUACCGAGUUGAUAAGUAGAGAUAAGAAUCAAUAGAUUAUUUAGUGAUAAUGGUAGUAUCUUAUUCUCGUAAAGGGUUUGGACGAGACGGAUACGAUCGAAGACGUUCAGAAGGUCAAACGAUGUUACAAAGCGAAUAAGGAACGAAUCGAGUAAACGAAGCAGUGUGGCGAAUAGAGUAUAGCCAAAGAUGGUCUAGAGACUAUGAUAUGCAUAGAGUGUGAAAGUGGAAAGAUGAGAUUGAGAUAUGAGACUGGAAUCGGAUUUAAGGCAAGUUUUCCUAAAUCCUUCCUCAUAUAUAUAUUGCAUGUUCUGAUUAUUCUGUCAAGAUUAUGAUAUUGUUUAUACUGAAACCCUUCUCAAAUAAACUCUUACUUCUGAGCAUGAAACCCAUGAUUGUUUUCUUCUUCCAAGUUUUGAAAAUCCAAACACCUAAUUACUCUCAAUUUCUAUUACAAGUAUUCUGAUCCAUUCUUUCCAAUCCUCAAGAUAUUAAAAAUACCAGCUUUACAAAUUAAUUCGAAGUUCAGACCGUCAUUGAAGCAUGUGUUGCUCAGUGAUAGUUAGAACCUAGAAUGAACUGGGAUCUUCUUGAUUAUUCAACCCGCCAUUGUCAUGCUGGUUUAGCAGGCUAAAUUCAGUUGCUUAGCCGAUAAUGGAGGAUACUGAAUAGUUAGGAAUUUCCUGAACUAUGAUUUAUCAAAAGACAGACUGUGGUUUAUGAAAUGUUGAUUCCCAAAAGUUGAUUUGAAAUAUUUCUGUUGCUGAUAAUGAUUAUGAUUCUGUUCUGUUGAUUCAAUUGUCUGUUGAUUUAAAUUGUUAGAAUUGGAUUAGUUUUUAUAAAAUAUGUGGACCAGAUUCGUGGUCAGACCAGAUUCGUGGUCAAUUAUAGGCCAAUGUGUGCCUUGGAUCCAGUAUAGAGAACAGGGCUGUGUGCCAUGUUCGGGGUUAGUGCGUGACUGAUCAGCAGCCUAACCUUUGGUUUUUAAGUAAAAAUGUGAUGAAUCCAAUUCGACAAUUC
rnacentral:lncRNA from 1 species